UUUGGCCCGCGGGCCGGACUUUGCCGACCGCUGCUUUAGAAGGUUAACAUAGGCUCUCCAUCCCCUCUCCUACUCAAUACGACCCCGUCGUACAGAACAGUAUUAUGUCUCUCAAUUAUCCAAUCUUGAGUAUACGGGGAAACACAAGCCCUUGGGCGGAUGGGUUGCAUGGAUAAAUUGAGAGGU
rnacentral:ribozyme from 1 species